UACAGAGGGUGCGAGCGUUAAUCGGAAUUACUGGGCGUAAAGCGUGCGUAGACGGUUAUUUAAGUCGGAUGUGAAAGCCCCGGGCUCAACCUGGGAAUUGCAUUCGAGACUGAAUAGCUAGGGUACGGUAGAGGGAAGUGGAAUUUCCGGUGUAGCGGUGAAAUGCGUAGAUAUCGGAAGGAACAUCAGUGGCGAAAGCGACUUCCGUGGACCAGUACCGACGUCAGGCACGAAAGCGUGGGGAGCAAACAGGAAUUGAGAUACCC
rnacentral:rRNA from 1 species